AGAGUUUGAUCCUGGCUCAGGAUGAACGCUAGCUACAGGCUUAACACAUGCAAGUCGAGGGGCAGCAUGAACUUAGCUUGCUAAGUUUGAUGGCGACCGGCGCACGGGUGAGUAACACGUAUCCAACCUUCCGUUUACUCAGGGAUAGCCUUUCGAAAGAAAGAUUAAUACCUGAUAGUAUGGUGAGAUUGCAUGAUGGCACCAUUAAAGAUUUAUUGGUAAACGAUGGGGAUGCGUUCCAUUAGGUAGUAGGCGGGGUAACGGCCCACCUAGCCGACGAUGGAUAGGGGUUCUGAGAGGAAGGUCCCCCACAUUGGAACUGAGACACGGUCCAAACUCCUACGGGAGGCAGCAGUGAGGAAUAUUGGUCAAUGGGCGAGAGCCUGAACCAGCCAAGUAGCGUGAAGGAUGAAGGUCCUACGGAUUGUAAACUUCUUUUAUACGGGAAUAAAGUAUCCUACGUGUAGGAUUUUGUAUGUACCGUAUGAAUAAGCAUCGGCUAACUCCGUGCCAGCAGCCGCGGUAAUACGGAGGAUGCGAGCGUUAUCCGGAUUUAUUGGGUUUAAAGGGAGCGCAGACGGGAGAUUAAGUCAGUUGUGAAAGUUUGCGGCUCAACCGUAAAAUUGCAGUUGAUACUGGUUUCCUUGAGUGCAGUUGAGGCAGGCGGAAUUCGUGGUGUAGCGGUGAAAUGCUUAGAUAUCACGAAGAACUCCGAUUGCGAAGGCAGCACACUAAGCUGUAACUGACGUUCAUGCUCGAAAGUGUGGGUAUCAAACAGGAUUAGAUACCCUGGUAGUCCACACGGUAAACGAUGGAUACUCGCUGUUGGCGAUAUACUGUCAGCGGCCAAGCGAAAGCAUUAAGUAUCCCACCUGGGGAGUACGCCGGCAACGGUGAAACUCAAAGGAAUUGACGGGGGCCCGCACAAGCGGAGGAACAUGUGGUUUAAUUCGAUGAUACGCGAGGAACCUUACCCGGGCUUAAAUUGCAGACGAAUUACGAGGAAACUUGUAAGCCGCAAGGCGUCUGUGAAGGUGCUGCAUGGUUGUCGUCAGCUCGUGCCGUGAGGUGUCGGCUUAAGUGCCAUAACGAGCGCAACCCU
rnacentral:rRNA from 1 species